GAAUCGAUUCUGAGCUUAGUUUUUAACAGCAGGUGGCGCUCUAGGCUAGAUUUUAACCGCACACUCAGAAUGCUCACAAAGAAGAGCCCUUGUGCGUUCGGUUGAGUAAUGUAAGUG